rnacentral:snoRNA from 1 species
AGGCCAUGGUGUGGACAUUUUCGGAGUAAAUCUUUAUACCUCUCCCAUGCUUCGUAUAAAGACUCAUAAUCCAGUUGUGUGAAAGAAGUGAUGUUGUUUCUCAUCUU